rnacentral:rRNA from 1 species
CAUGCUGCGAGUUGUAGAUUGCAGGUGGGAGAGUCUGCGUAGGCCGGUGUCGAAGUCCCUUGGAACAGGGCGCCACUGAGGGUGAGAGCCCCGUGCGAUGCCACGCUCUACGUUUUGUACUCCCCUCUGACGAGUCGAGUUGUUUGGGAAUGCAGCUCUAAGUGGGUGGUAAAUUCCAUCUAAGGCUAAAUACUGGCAAGAGACCGAUAGCGAACAAGUACUGUGAAGGAAAGAUGAAAAGCACUUUGAAAAGAGAGUGAAACAGCACGUGAAAUUGUUGAAAGGGAAGGGUAUUGGGCCCAACAUGGGGAAUCGCGCACCGCUGCUCCUUGUGGGCGGCGCUCUGGGCUUUUCCUGGGCCAGCAUCGGUUCUUGCUGCAGGAGAAGGGGCUGUGGAAUGUGGCUGCCGCGCUUUGCCGG